AACCAGCACCUCAAGUGGUCAGGAUGAUUAUUGGGCCUAAAGCAUCCGUAGCUCGUUUUGUAAGUUUUCGGUUAAAUCCACGGGCUUAACCCGUGGGCUGCGGGGGAUACUACCGGGCUUGGGGGUGGGAGAGGCGCCCGGUAUUCCCGGGGUAGGGGUAAAAUCCUCUGAUCCCGGGAGGACCAUCAGUGGCGAAGGCGGGGCGCCAGAACACGCCCGACGGUGAGGGGCGAAAGCUGGGGGAGCAAACGGGAUUAGAAACCCCGGUAGU
rnacentral:rRNA from 1 species